AAGCAAACAUAGCUCUUUUAGAAAAUUUCUACCAGGGUUUUCUGAUUUUGGUCAGAAAACCCAA
ensembl:snRNA U7 U7 small nuclear RNA